rnacentral:misc_RNA from 1 species
AACGCACAUUGCGCCCGCUAGUAUUCUGGCGGGCAUGCCUGUUCGAGCGUCAUUUCAACCCUCAGGCUCUUACAGUCUGGCGUUGGGGCUCAUUUGCCGUUGAGGCAAGCCCUGAAAACGAGUGGCGGGCCCUGUAGGAACCCAAGCGUAGUAAUUAUAUCUCGCUAUGGCGCCCCGCGGGAGCUCGGCCGUCAAACGCUCUUCUAAGGUUGACCUCGGAUCAGGUAGGAAUACCCGCUGAACUUAA